CCCGCUCAUCAUCUUGUAAAUAGUCGCAAUAAUAUCACCUUCUUUUCCAAUAAAUUCGUCACAUCUUAAACACUUUUUUCUUAUUGCCGUUUUACAUCUUUCAUUAUAAAGAUAUUUCAAUUCCAAAUUACAAUACAUAUAAAAGACGUUUGGUCAGAUCAUAGAUGGUAUUACAUCUGUGGUCAGAUAAAUGUAAUAUCACCCCAGAGCAUGCAGAGUGUAACACCUUCACUGAUUUUAACAUGCUAAAACAUUAAUUUAAAACUGAUAAAAAGUUUCAUUGCCGUUCCCUCUUAAAGGACGCUGUCACAAUGGAAUUUCUUUAAAUAAUUGUUAUCAUGUUUUAUGUAUACAAACC
rnacentral:lncRNA from 1 species